rnacentral:rRNA from 1 species
AUGGCAUCAAGAUGCAGCUGCUCAUAUGAUUUCAUAGUUUGGCAAGUACCACAGAAUUUGUGGUUGACUGCUUACAUACAAAAUCAUCGUGAAUUGGCGAUGAUCAAUUUACAGUCAGUUAUCAAUUUGUGCGGUUCAUUAAAUAAUCAAGAUAACACAUGGAGGUCCAUUCUUCUUUGGGCCGGCAGCCUUCUCGCCAACGAAGGCAUUUCUACCCGGUCCUUUUCUUUUAGCCUGCUGCAGGGACCAAACACUAUACCUUCUUCUUCGGUCUUCAAUCUGUUUUCUUCUUCAAUGAAUCUGACCACGACAUCUUGCACGUACUGCACCGCUCCCAGAGGUGAACGGAGUCAUAAAAAUCAACUUAGCAUCAGACUACUGGGUGAACAGAGUUGUAGAAACCAGAACAGAGUCACACACUCUCAAUGGUGGCAAGUUAUUAUAUUAAAUCUUGCUAGACAGUUGCUCACAUGGGUACUAUGUAUGCAUGAUUUUUUAACUUGA